CCUACGGGGCGCAGCAGUGAGGAAUAUUGGUCAAUGGACGGAAGUCUGAACCAGCCAUGCCGCGUGCAGGAAGACGGCUCUAUGAGUUGUAAACUGCUUUUGUACAAGGGUAAACCUGAAUACGUGUAUUCAGCUGAAAGUACUGUACGAAUAAGGAUCGGCUAACUCCGUGCCAGCAGCCGCGGUAAUACGGAGGAUCCAAGCGUUAUCCGGAUUUAUUGGGUUUAAAGGGUGCGUAGGCGGAUUGAUAAGUUAGAGGUGAAAUGUCCGAGCUUAACUCGGGAACUGCCUCUAAUACUGUUGGUCUAGAGAGUAGAUGCGGUAGGCGGAAUGUAUGGUGUAGCGGUGAAAUGCUUAGAGAUCAGACAGAACACCGGUUGCGAAGGCAGCUUACCAAUCUAUAUCUGACGUUGAGGCACGAAAGCGUGGGGAGCAAACAGGAUUAGAUACCCGAGUAGUC
rnacentral:rRNA from 1 species